GCCUGGGUGGCUCAGUUGGUUAAGCAUCUGACUUCAGCUCAGGUCAUGAUCUCACAGUUUGUAGGUUCAAGCCCUGCACCAGGCU
rnacentral:tRNA from 1 species